rnacentral:rRNA from 1 species
GACGAACGCUGGCGGCAUGCCUAACACAUGCAAGUCGAACGGGGAAGCCCGAGCUUGCUGCAGUGGAUUAGUGGCGAACGGGUGAGUAACACGUAAGCAACCUGCCCCUCACCGUGGAAUAUGCGCUGGAAACGGCGUCUAUUACUGGAUACGAGAAGGGUCCGCAUGGUCACUUUCUGUAAGGUUAUUCGGUUGGGGAUGGGCUCGCGGUCUAUUAGCUUGUUGGUGAGGUAAUAGCCCACGAAGGCGACGACGCAUAGCUGGCCGGGGAGGACGACCAGCCACACUGGGAGUGAGACACGGCCCAGACUCGGACGGGAGGCAGGGGGGGGGAAUAUUGGACGAUGGGCGAAAGCCUGAUCCAGCCAUGGCGCGUGAGUGAUGAAUGCGUUAUGGAUGUCAAGCUCUGUUACCAGGGAUGAAAAUGACAGUACCGGGAGAAAAAGACCCGGCUAACUCCGUG